CAAACGAAACAAUGCGUGGCGCCAUGUGUUCGCGCCGGGCCAGAUGUCACCAUAGUCGGUUUCUUGAUCAACUAGGUUAGUUGUCGCGUAUCGUAUUGGCAACGACGUGGAACAUUUUCUUUCAGUCACAUUCACUUUCUUGCAAUUUGCGUGAUAUUUAUUCAUGGUUGCAUUCUUUUAAAGGUUUUGUUCAUUUUUUUUGGCUUGAUUGUGGGUAGUUGACUUUUUUGUAAAGUAUCGAGCAGAUUAUCAAUUCGGGAGCAAAAAAGAACACGAUCGUCCUGAGGCAGGUAAUAAUAAUAAUAAAUAAAUAAAAGGUGGGUGGUAAAUUUUCGUGAAAAUAGAACUGCAUGCAUAUAUAAUCAUGUAUAAAUAGAUACUUAAUAAAGGCAAUGAAAAAUUUAUACGUAAUAAGUUUUAGGGCUGGAUUAUCUGCGGUAUAUAAAAGUUGGAGUAUGUUGAAGCUGAAUAUUUUAAGCGAUUUGUGUAUAGUGCUGAAUAUAAUGAGAUUAAUGUAGCAAAUAUCAAAUAUCAAAAUAUGGUAGAACACAUACAACAAGCUGCAUAGAUGCAUUUGAUAUUUGUAUAUAUAUAUAUAUAUAUUCAUUUAUCCCUAAGGAAUUGCGUAUGGGGUCAUGAUUCGUUCUUGGAGGAUCCAUAUAUUCCCCCAUGAGAAUUAAAAGUCAGAUGAUAUCCAAUGGACAAACGAUCGUGUCGUCGUUCUGGAGAGCGAUCAAAGCCGUGUAUAAUUCCGGCUACGCGCACCAUGCCACCAUUCUCGUUCCUUCGGCGACUUGGGGAUCAAACAUUACCUGGGUGCUGAUCCUCCAAGUACGAGCAUAGCAAGGUGGCAGGCACAGUCGUCACUACUAGUAAAAAAAAAAAAAAAGAAAACAAAGAAGAAAAGAAUCUGAAAUCAUAGUGAAUUGUAUAUAAAAGGAAACGUAAAACAAUUUGAAUCGAAUUGAAAAAAUCGAAAAGAGAAAAACGGAUAUAUAUAUAUAUUUUUUUAUCUAUAUAUAUAUGUAUAUAUGUAUAUAUAUAUAUAUAUAUGUAGAUCAAUCUCGAACACACCGACAUUUGGUGGCGAGCGCGUAUGCAAGACUGAAUAACGGAAAACAAAGAAAAAUAGUAAAGAAAAAAAAAAAUAAAAAUAUGGACGGUCUCGCGACAGAAAGAUCAGCGCGAUACAGCGACGCAAUGCCGAAUUCUGUCUCUCUUUACUUGGAUUUUUUUCAUUCUUAUUGCUCUGUCAGCGAUGUUUAUUUUAUCGCGCCAUAUUUCUUUUCCUCCCGCGCGCGCGACAUUCAAACGUAUCAAACGACUUUCCUCUUUUCUGCCUUCUCUUUUUUCAUCUUCUCAUUAUUUUGAAAACUUUUAUUCCUUAUGUUUAUUUAUUUUAGAUACUCGUUCGUUUCCUGUUCAAGAAUAUAAUAAUAAAUGAACAAUUUAAUCAGAAAUGAUUUCAUUUUCUCUUUUUUUCUUUCAUUUUCUUUCUCUUUUCAAAAAUUUAACUCACGAAUUAAUCCACCAAUAUUAAAUUGAAAAGAAAUCUUUUGCAGUCUUCUGAUUUAUGAGAAAUUAUUACUGGCUUUAGCAUGAACCACGGACGGAUAAGGACGAAUCGAUUUUUCUUCAAAAGAGGGUUUCUGUCGUGUUCUGUUAUGAGAUUAUAACUUUCGGUGGGUUAGAUAGCACGGAUCGGUUAAAGACAGACACAGGGCUUUGGUGUAACGGGGUUAUUGGCACAUUGUAGACAGGUGAUAACAGACGUAGACAAGGGACAAGGGAGGGAUUGGUCGUUCAGGUCCUUCGUAUCAUAUCAUGUAUCAUAAAGCUGUGUAUUGAACGGUUCCGAUUUCGUAAUUAUUGCCGAUCCGUCGAUUCGGAACAAUACAUUAUAACUUGUUUUUUUUUUCUCAUUCUCAUUUUCAUCGUCAUCGUUUUACAUUUGAUUUUAUUUUAUAUAUCACGAUUAUUAGAUCUCUUCCACCGCUUGUGUAUAAAUAUCUAUUAUGCAUAAAUAAAAAUGUUAUAUGAUGA